UAUCACUGCAUUCUGGGUUCUCAUUACUCAUAUUCCCAUCUUCCAAAAUAUCAUUCGCAUUAUUGAGACUCUUCUUUUCAGCCAAGUGCCACCAUGUCAAUCUCUAUCCGUUAUUUUGUACACAGACCAAAUCCAAUCCAAACAAUGAAAAUAUUAACCCCAACUCAAAUCCAUGCCGCCCGCAUCGGCAUCUCCAACUUGUUCAGACCAUUGUAUUCGUUUUUCAAUCACUCCACAAAUCUGUUGUUAAAUUGUCCACCUCAUUCAAAUAUUCCAUCGGGAUGGGAACACAAUCAAAAUUACAUGGCAUCCUAUUCCUCCAAGCACUGCACCAUCACAUAGACACAGACCUAAAGCCUUUGUAUUGCAUUCGGCAGGGGAGGGCAGUGGGUAUUAAUGGGAGACCCUGCCCAUAACUAACUUUUCUGUUACUUCACCGUUUUAGGCCGCCCAGUUGCUCGCAUUGUUCUGUUAUAAACUCUUAGGUAAGCAGGGCUUAAGGGCGGGCACUCUGAUAGGUAUUUUAAUCCGGAGAAAAGUGCCCAGUUCUCAUUUGGGCAUUGCCCAAGCUGAUUUCUUGUCAUAUAUGUUAUCAUGUCUAACAAUAAGUCUGCAAAUAGCCCCAACAUUACAGAAAAUGAAGCCAGGAAAAUGGAUAAUAAAUAUGCUAGUCUGAAAGAAGAUUAUCUGGAGCUUCAACAGGUUUGGAUGCAAACCCUUGUGUUGAUGAUUUAGCAUUAUCUUCCUCUCCUUCCAGGUUUGGUAUGCAAUUCCUCGGUUGGAUUCUUAGCAUCCUUCUCUCCUUCCAUGUUUGGUAUACAAAUGCUCGGUUGGAUUCUAAGCAUCCUUCUCUCCUUCCAUAUUUGGGUUGCAAAUUUGUGGGUAAAUGACUUAAGUAUUUUUCUCUCCUUACAAAUCCUUGGGUGAAGUCACAUGUUUAUGUGCAAAUCCUUAGACCUUAGCAUCCUCCUCCCCUUGUAAAUUUGCAAUGCAAAUCCUUGGGUUGAUGUCUAGAAUUCUCCUUUCCAUGCAGGUUAGAUGAUGGAAAUUCGCAUAACAGCCUCAUGGGUUCACUGUGGGGGUUGUGGGUUCCCUUGCUUGGCAUUUAUUUCCAGUCUGGAAAUUAUUCUCAAUCAGAAGGAAGUCAUGGGGCUAAGAAAAAAGCUAGAAAAUUGCAAAGAUAGCAGGAAGCAGCUUGAGGCCGAAAUUCUUGAGAUCUAGAAAAAGAAUGUUGACAUCUAAGAAAUUAUUGGACUUGAUAGAUCCAGAAGCAUCUCCAAAUGAUCACUUAAAAAUAAUGUGCAAAAACAGAAGCAACGGUGCUUCAAUUGAAGGCCUGCCUAUUGAACAUGAGCCCAUUACACAUGGAUCACAUCCUUGGCUGCAACUAUACAAAUCACAACAUAUCUCUUCUGUGCCUGAAACGACUGCUGGAGUACAAUCUUCAAAUCUUGCACGGCAACAAACACCAUCAGUCACAGCAAUUAGAGAACCUGUUUUAAAGAAGAGACGACUUCAGAGCAAUGAUACCCUUAAUUCAUCUGAACCCAAAGGUAGCAAAAAGAAAAAACUUCAAGAAAAAGGUAAACAAAAGCCUAAUCCACGUACUGAUGAAGGAAGUGAUAACAGGUUUUGGGACAAAAAAUAAUGUAGUCUAUGUAUUCAGAUUUGAAUGAUUCGCUGCACUCCUACCAAGAUCUGUAAGACAUGAAAAUUAUAUAAAUUUAAAAUCUUACUCCCUUUGACA